rnacentral:tRNA from 1 species
AGCGGGAUAUAGCAGCUUGGUAGCUAAUAAGGCUCAUAACCUUGAAGUCGUGGGUUCAAAUCCCAUUCCCGCAA